AGUGAACGCUGGCGGCGUGCUUAACACAUGCAAGUCGAACGAGAACGGGUUAUAGCUUGCUAUAAUUGUCAGCUAAGUGGCGCACGGGUGAGUAAUGUAUAGGUAAUAUGCCUCUUACUAAGGGAUAACAAAUGGAAACGUUUGCUAAUACCUUAUACUCCUUAUUAACAGAAGUUAAUAAGGGAAAGAUUUAUUGGUAAGAGAUUAGCCUGUAUUGUAUCAGUUAGUUGGUGGGGUAAUGGCUUACCAAGACUAUGACACAUAACUGGUUUGAGAGGAUGAUCAGUCACACUGGGACUGAGACACGGUCCAGACUCCUACGGGAGGCAGCAGUGGGGAAUAUUGCACAAUGGACGAAAGUCUGAUGCAGCAACGCCGCGUGGAGGAUGACACAUUUCGGUGCGUAAACUCCUUUUAUAUGAGAAGAUAAUGACGGUAUUAUAUGAAUAAGCACCGGCUAACUCCGUGCCAGCCGCCGCCGUAA
rnacentral:rRNA from 1 species